rnacentral:rRNA from 1 species
GUUGGUUUCUAUCUUUUAAAUUAUAAAAUAUUUUAGUACGAAAGGAUUGAAUAUUUUAAUUAAAUUAUAUUUUUAUUUAUGAAUUUUAUUAAAGUUAAUAAAAAUUUUUAAUUUCAUUUAAUAUAUAUAUAUAUAUAUAUAUGUAUAUAG